GUGUCCCCACCAAGCUCCUCCCUGGACGCUCUUCUGCUUCCUGGAGGCCUCACUGGGCCUGCUCCUCUCAACAACCGCGAACUUUCCACUCAAGUAGCCACCGGCCCCAGGUGGAGGGGUCAGCCGCUUUGCACAUGAGUGAUGAAAGCCAGAAGACGCUUCCCACCAACACCAGGAGUGCUGGGAGGACGCCUGGCAGGCGCGGGGACCGCCCACCAGAUUUUCAGGCACUCUGAGUUAAGCGGCUUUCUGGCCAUUCCUGGAAGCCUGGCAUCAUUGAUGAUGAGGUUUCCAAGUGGAAAGAUUCCCCCAAAGACACCUCGUUUGGAAGUUAAGCGGCUUCUGCGGUCAUUGGAAUGAAAUCCCAUUCUCUACAAACUGCCCUCAACACUGGAGAGACACUGCGGUCUUUUAGGAACAGAAAUCUCCAAGGGUUGCACUGAUGGACAAGACCCACAGUCUGUUCUUUGUCCACCUGGAUAGAAAAAGGCAUAGAAUCAGCCGAGUCUUGACCUUUGGAUGGCAUAGCACUGAAAUUUCCACUAGGUCACAGCAGAAGAGUAGCAGCCCGAGAGCCCUGAGAUUUCCCUCACCUAGAAGCCUCCUCCUCGGGAAAUUCCCCAGCCCCGCUGAGGCCCGAAGGAAAGUAUCGUCAAGCUUUUUUCAUUAGACUUGGACGAAAGGAUUCACAAGGAGCCGUCGCCUGAGUCCCCACUUCCCUGAGUCCUGCUGGCCGUUGCUUUUCCUUUCUUUCCUCCCCACACCUGUCUGCUGAUCUUGUGGCAGUACCUUCUGGAAGAUGAGGCACACACGGGACAUGGCCAUCCCUGAGCUGCCCAUGGGAGCCGGGCUGGGGUACUUAUUGGGUGCAGCUGACCUCAGCUUGGGCAGGAGGCCCUUUGUCCCCUGGCCCAGGGCCUGGACCUCACUCCUCACUCACAGCCUUCCGCCUCCUCUGACCGCCCCCCCCUUGUUGAAAUGUCCCUUGGGUUCUCUGGGGAAAAGGAUGGGUGGGGGAGUCGUGGCCCAAGGAGAGAAUGAAAACUCAUUUCUGCCAGAUGUUUGAACCCGCGAUCACAAAGCCAAAAUUAGGUACGACAGUGAAUAUUAACUUUCUAAUGUUAUAAUGAGAAUAGAAAUCCACAAAUUGCAAAUUCUAAGAAGCUGACAAAUACUAGAACCAUCAAGCAACUCAGGAAAGUAACAGGGUAUUUUUGUAUUAACCGCCCGCCUGCCUCUGGAACACAUUUCCUGUGACGUGUACACUGUCAUCACCUCUUUGUCCGACGAGGAUGCUGUAUUCCUUACUCUACAGACAGAAUACAAACAUGGACCAAGUUUCCUUCAUAGACGAGCAGUAGGAAUUCAGGGCGUGCUGAGUUUUCUCCCACAGGGACCAAUGCUCCUUGGAUGGACGACACUUGUUAUCCCGUGUGGCUUCUAUGCCCUCGCGGCAUGGGAACAGGCGUGGGAAGAAACUUAACUGAGGUUAAAAUGUCUCAUAUUUGCAAACUACAGAAAUGUGUGACCAUGGGAACACACUGCAAUUCAAUAUUGCAAUUCAAUGGCCAAAACAGAAUUUGUUUGUACUGAAGGCACUGACUUAGCAGGUACAUCCAGGCAGAGAGGGCAGGCCACUCCUUGCCCUUUCCAGAGAAAGUGCCCCCAAAAGAACGCAGCACCAAUCUCCUGCUAGUUUUUUUGAUUUCUCUAAGAAGUCGCAGCCUUACCUUUCCAGGGAGGGUUGGCCUUAGAGGAAUCUGAGUCUGAACUUCGGGGCGGGAGAUCUGGGUUCAAAGCCCAGCCCUGCCACUGCCUACCUGUGGGGCCUUGGGCAAGUGGUGAGAAGCCUCUGAGCCUCACC